AGAGUUUGAUCAUGGCUCAGGACGAACGCUGGCGGCGUGCUUAACACAUGCAAGUCGAACGGAAAGGCCCUUCGGGGUACUCGAGUGGCGAACGGGUGAGUAACACGUGGGUGAUCUGCCCUGCACUUUGGGAUAAGCCUGGGAAACUGGGUCUAAUACCGAAUAGGACCACGCGCUUCAUGGUGUGUGGUGGAAAGCUUUUGCGGUGUGGGAUGGGCCCGCGGCCUAUCAGCUUGUUGGUGGGGUAAUGGCCUACCAAGGCGACGACGGGUAGCCGGCCUGAGAGGGUGACCGGCCACACUGGGACUGAGAUACGGCCCAGACUCCUACGGGAGGCAGCAGUGGGGAAUAUUGCACAAUGGGCGCAAGCCUGAUGCAGCGACGCCGCGUGAGGGAUGACGGCCUUCGGGUUGUAAACCUCUUUCAAUAGGGACGAAGCGCAAGUGACGGUACCUAUAGAAAAAGCACCGGCCAACUACGUGCCAGCAGCCGCGGUAAUACGUAGGGUGCGAGCGUUGUCCGGAAUUACUGGGCGUAAAGAGCUCGUAGGUGGUUUGUCGCGUUGUUCGUGAAAACUCACAGCUUAACUGUGGGCGUGCGGGCGAUACGGGCAGACUAGAGUACUGCAGGGGAGACUGGAAUUCCUGGUGUAGCGGUGGAAUGCGCAGAUAUCAGGAGGAACACCGGUGGCGAAGGCGGGUCUCUGGGCAGUAACUGACGCUGAGGAGCGAAAGCGUGGGGAGCGAACAGGAUUAGAUACCCUGGUAGUCCAA
rnacentral:rRNA from 1 species